UAAAUAUAUGACCCAUGAGGCUGGACACGUGGCCAGAAAUGAGAGCAAUGGCGGAGGAAGAGGAUGAAGGAGUGUGUGAGAAAACACAUCGACUAACAAUCAUCAUAAAAGUGACAGCGAGGAAAAUAUGGAAGGGAAAAGGGAAGUUUUUAUUUCAGAGUGAAAAGGGGAGGGUGGGGGAGAAAGAAUGAUCACCGAAGAGUUAAGCAAAUGGGGUUACAAAGCCAGUUGACGGUGAAAGAAAGAAAAGACGAUAAAGAUGGAAAACGAUCGAUUAUGGAGAAGAGGCCGAUUCACUUUCCAAUGUUCUUUUACGUUUGUUUGCAUUAUAAUACUGCCUCUCAGUGGCCAAGGCGGGGAUACCAGCAUCAUAAUACAUCUAGAAAAGUCCUUAUUAAAAGGACAAAGGAAAAAAUUUAUCUUUGUUUGUUGACCUUUCCGUCCAUUUAAGAUAGAAAAUUGUUUUUAAUAACAGGAACGAUUCAACCCGUACCAUUGUUUACUAAAUGAGGACGCACAGACUACAAGACCCACAAUGCACUACGCCACUUUUCUCUGACGUCAUCGCACCGGGUGGUCAACUGCGCGGCGUGUGCGCGCUUUUGGAGCAGCAAGAGUGCAACAUUGUUCCAGACGAUCACCGACAGAGGGCUGUAUAGCCUCAAGGGAACUCGGUAGGACGGAAUGUAUGCACAGGCAGUGGAAGAAGAGAGUUAGCAUGAGACUACCAGAGUGAUUAAAUAAACAACUAGCUGAAGCUAGUAUAAAGUUCAA